rnacentral:rRNA from 1 species
UCAGGCCUAACACAUGCAAGUCGAGCGGAUGAGUGGAGCUUGCUCCAUGAUUCAGCGGCGGACGGGUGAGUAAUGCCUAGGAAUCUGCCUGGUAGUGGGGGAUAACGUUUCGAAAGGAACGCUAAUACCGCAUACGUCCUACGGGAGAAAGUGGGGGAUCUUCGGGCCUCACGCUAUCAGAUGAGCCUAGGUCGGAUUAGCUAGUUGGUGGGGUAAUGGCCCACCAAGGCGACGAUCCGUAACUGGUCUGAGAGGGUGAUCAGUCACACUGGAACUGAGACACGGUCCAGACUCCUACGGGAGGCAGCAGUGGGGAAUAUUGGACAAUGGGCGAAAGCCUGAUCCAGCCAUGCCGCGUGUGUGAAGAAGGUCUUCGGAUUGUAAAGCACUUGAAGUUGGGAGGAAGGGCAGUAAGUUAAUACCUGCUGUUUGA